AGCGCAGGCCGCCUUAUCGCUCUGUCCCGAUCGGGAUCGGGGAGGAAAGUCCGGACACCAUAGGGAAGCAUAGCGGCUAACAGCCGUCGGUCACGCCAGCGGCGCGAUUAGGACCAGUGCAACAGAAAGAAUGUACAGGUAAUGCUGUAGUGAAACCAGGUAAACUCUAUGCGGUGAAAUGCCACGUAAACCAGCGCUAAGGGUUCCCGCCCAAUGCUGGAGGGUAGGCAGCUAGAGCGUUGCAGCAAUGUAACGUCCAGAUAAAUGAUAAGGAUCACGCCAUAGGCGUGAGACAGAAUCCGGCUUAUAGGCCUGCAUUUUUU
rnacentral:RNase_P_RNA from 1 species